UCAUGCUCUGCUGCAUGAAGAUUUGCUUCUGAGUUUGGUGUGCAUGGAGGCAGUUGAGGCUAAGAGACUAUUUGUUAUUUAGUAUCAUAUCUGCAACAAAAACACUUGUCCAUUUUCUCAUGUCAUGUCCAGGUUAUAUACAUGUGCAUUAUGAUUUUAGUGUGCGUUUCUGUACGUAGAAAGCAAUCGGCAUAUCAAAUUUUACAUUAUUCGUGUCAACUGAGAGUUGCUUCAAUGUGCUGAUGAACAAAAGCAUUGUGGACUAGUUCACUGUGUACUCAAUCGUGCAAAUAGUGUCCAUACAUUAAUUUUUUUAGUGGUUUUGAAGGUGGUGCUGAUUCUUUGGUAUGUUUUGACAUUUCGAUGAUGCUUCUCGCUUUUGUUUUACCAUGAGCAAAAAAAGGAAAAAAGACCACAUUACUUUAGCACAGUUCACUGUGUAAAAAAACAAGUAGCUGUCACUAUUUAUUAUUGGGGAAUCUAGUAUUUUGGCAAAGCACUUUUCUUUUCUUUUUCAAUUUUCAUACUCCAGUUUUGUUUGAUACAAAGCAGGUUAAGGUAAUCUGAAUCCCUUUUUUUCCUUUGAAAUGGAACAUUCCCUGAAGUCUAUUAUCAGCAUCCAGACUUGCACAACAAAACAGGAUCUUUGUGAUGGAGCUUUCUCAGUUGAAAGACACACACAACACUUAAGAGUUCCACACCUUCAUCCCAUUGCCAAGUAUGUAUUAUGCAUGCUAUUAUCAAUUGCUGCUAAGGGCUAUGAGGCCAAGCACUGUCUUGUCACUGCUAGCAUGGAAUGCCAUUAUGUCAUUUGAAAGUGCUGCGUUAAAAUGCUUGCAUUCUAUUCAGUUCCCUUUGGAAGGCUGCAUCUGGCUUUAAAGUGAAGCUUCCAAAUGGCCAUUCAUCACUUCACCUCUAUGUUUCCGUUUAAAAGUCUUGACAAUGUUUAAAACUGAAUGCACUCAUGUGUUUAUGAAGUUACAAAUGGAAUAAUUUUUUAUGUCAGCAUUUUAAACAACUUGAGGUAGAUUCUGGAAAAAUAUUGUUAAAAUAAAUUUCUACACUUAAUGGAACAUUUUUUUUCUUUUAGUUUAGUGAAAGCUGAAAUAUAUUUCUAAAGUGCUUGGUAGAUAUAAAACCUUGCUUUUGAUUACCUGAAAUGUAAAUUAAUUGGCACAAUCAAUUGUUUUAUAAACAAAGGCUCAUCAUAUUUUCUUAGCUGAUUAACUUUAUAACAAAGUCAUAGUCUGUUUAUACAUACUAAUGACUGCAAGAACCCACUGUGGUGGCUCACUGGGUUUAACGUUGUGCUGCUGAACACGAGGUCACAAAGCUUGAUUCCUGGCCAUGGCAGUCACGUUCCAAUGGAGGUGGAAUGCAAAAGCUCUUGUGUGUGGUGCUUUGGGUGCAUUGUCAAGUUACUCCAGGUGGUUAAAAUUCAGAGCUGUUCACUACAGCAUCCCUCAUAACCCACUGUGCAGCUUUCAAUCAAUCAAUCAAUUUUAUUUACCAGAAACAAAAGGAACUGGAGGGACACCUGGGCAAAAAGCUGUCGCAGCAGCUUGACUAAGGCCCAGGGUCCCUUACAUGGCAGUAGCACUCACAUGAUAUAUACACUGAAGUCUUUGUACACAACACACAUUAUACAUCGUACAUAUGCAUAAAAAUGACAUUUUACACUUGAAUGCCAGAUACUAAAGUGUCACAAUAAAGAAAGAAAGUAGUCACGCAAACUAUUUUUAUUUAGCGUAGCUGUGUGCUUAUAUUUGUUUAGUACAGUUGGUAUAUUAUGUGUUAAGGACUGUAGGCUGUAAUUGUUUCGAAACCAUGGUACCUUCCACACCUCGGGGUUUUGUGUAGUAUGUUUCGUGUAAGUGCAGAGUUCUAGAUGAGCAAGGCAUGUAAAAUAAUUUUUAACAUAUUCAGAUGAGAAGUGAAUCGUUUCUAGUAAUCUGUGUUCGUAUAAUUUAUCCACGCAGUUUAGUCUGUAUUUGAGAAAUAUAUUAUCUGUUGGUGAAAGCCGAUUAACGUUCUCUAUAUACCGAACAAUUUUCUUUUGAAGUAUUACCAGCUUUUGCAAGUUAGAUUCAGAUGUUGUAGUCCAGACAAGGUAAGAGUAAUUUAUAUACUAUAAGAAGACACUAUAGUAAAUUUGAAGUUUCGCUCUCGUAGGUAGAAAUGUGCGGCAACGUGCCAUAGCACCAGUAACCGCAGAGAUGAUUGAUAUGGGCAUCCCAACGUAAAUUUGAAGAAAAGUAUUCACCAAGAAUUUUAAAUUCUUCAACCAGUUCAAUGCGUUGGCUUUGAAAAUAAAUAGCAUGAUUAAUGUUAAGUGUUUAUUUUUUGCGCGAAAUAUUAGAACUUUCGUUUUCUUUGAAUUUACUUUAAGCUUACUUGUCUGUGUCCAAUCGGACAAACUUGCCAUAAUUUAAGUUUUGGAAUGUUAUGCCCUACAAUUUAAUUUAUUUGCCCACUCCAAGAGCACUGGGACUGUUUCCAUUACUGGGCUGGUGUAAGCCCUCUUGAACGAGGCAUGACAAUUGGCUUGUUUGGCAGUGUGUUUGUGUUGGGGUCGGAGUAUUACAAUAUACCGCAGUCGUUAGAUUGAGUUAAUUUUUGUGCCACGAGUAACUGCUAAGUUGAGUUGCUUGAGAGAUUUAUCUUAUUCAUUUAAUGAGUGGUUGAAGGAAGGUUAAAACUGCGCGAAAAAAUGAGGACAAGCGAAAGAACACGCAACACACCACGAGCGCAGACUGCCAACUGUUUAUUCUUGAAAAUCAAAGCAUAGACUAUUUCAAGCAAGCAAACACGUAACUGUGUUACACUUACUCUGCAGAAUUCUCUUGUGCUAUCUGAACAAAUGUGAGUGACGAUGUGGUCACGUGCCUGGGAUCUUGCUUGAAAUAGUCUAUGCUUUGAUUUUCAAGAAUAAACAGUUGGCAGUCUGCGCUCGUGGUGUGUUGUGUGUUCUUUCGCUUGUCCGCUUUUUUCGCUUAACCUUCCUUCAUGUAUAAACCAACUAGUCCUCAAGAACCUCCUAUUAAUGAGUGAUGCAUGUCAAUGAAAGUUCAGUACACGUGUUUAGCACUGCGGCAAAGGCUUAAUUAACAGCUAUAUUGGCAUGGUAGUUCCUGCCUAGUUGGUUCACUGAUUACUAAUAGCUUGAAUGCAGUCUAGUACAUAAAUAUAGAAUGCAACAGGGUUAAGGCAUUUGAACGGAAACGAACUAUGCCUAUGUCAAGCUUCCUGAAAGACAAUGUUGCUACAUACUUGCACGCCAGCAAUAAAUCAUGUGUUUUCACCUAAUAGAGCCCACAUGUUGCCUGCAAGAAAUGAAUUGCAGUGGCUGACUUUCAUUGCCAGUCUAUAAAUUAUCUUUUGGAUGCUUUUGACCUUAGAAAUGAAGUUGCGGAUGCACCUGGCUGAUGGUGCUGCACUUUGGGGUGCCUAGGAAGUCUUGUGGCAGUGAUGUUGCAAUGUCCAAGGAUGACCGAUGUCUCUCACUGUUGUAGGAAAGUCGUGUCUUGGGGUGAUGUUCAGGGUCCCUGGCGCGUGGCCGCACCCAACAAACCGUUCAAGUGCAGCACCUGCUCAAAGCGUUUUUGCUCAACAGAGUCCCUGCGAGUGCACCUUUAUUACAUGCACCGUGCCAUCAAGAUGCACGUAUGUCAGCGCU